rnacentral:rRNA from 1 species
UACGUAGGGGGCUAGCGUUGUCCGGAAUUAUUGGGCGUAAAGAGCUCGUAGGCGGUGUGUCGCGUCGGCCGUGAAAACCUGCAGCUUAACUGUGGGCUUGCGGUCGAUACGGGCAUCACUGGAGUUCAGCAGGGGAGACUGGAAUUCCUGGUGUAGCGGUGAAAUGCGCAGAUAUCAGGAGGAACACCGAUGGCGAAGGCAGGUCUCUGGGCCAUAACUGACGCUGAGAAGCGAAAGCAUGGGGAGCGAACAGG